rnacentral:rRNA from 1 species
UACGAAGGGGGCUAGCGUUGCUCGGAAUCACUGGGCGUAAAGCGCACGUAGGCGGAUUCUUAAGUCGGUGGUGAAAUCCUGGAGCUCAACUCCAGAACUGCCUUCGAUACUGAGAGUCUUGAGUCCGGGAGAGGUGAGUAGAACUGCGAGUGUAGAGGUGAAAUUCGUAGAUAUUCGCAAGAACACCAGUGGCGAAGGCGGCUCACUGGCCCGGUACUGACGCUGAGGUGCGAAAGCGUGGGGAGCAAACAGG